rnacentral:sRNA from 1 species
CAGUGCAGCCCAGGCUGGCUGGCUGCAGCAUGACUUUGGGCACCUGUCGGUCUUCAGCACCUCAAAGUGGAACCAUCUGCUACAUCAUUUUGUGAUUGGCCACCUGAAGGGGGCCCCCGCCAGUUGGUGGAACCACAUGCACUUCCAGCACCAUGCCAAGCCCAACUGCUUCCGCAAAGACCCAGACAUCAACAUGCAUCCCUUCUUCUUUGCCUUGGGGAAGAUCCUCUCUGUGGAGGUGCGUGGAGGUAUCAGUGGAAAGCCUUGCUGCCUCUCUACUUCCAGUGGUAUAUUUUCUAUUUUGUUAUCCAGCGAAAGAAGUGGGUGGACUUGGCCUGGAUGAUUACCUUCUACGUCCGCUUCUUCCUCACUUAUGUGCCACUAUUGGGGCUGAAAGCCUUCCUGGGCCUUUUCUUCAUAGUCAGGUUCCUGGAAAGCAACUGGUUUGUGUGGGUGACACAGAUGAACCAUAUUCCCAUGCACAUUGAUCAUGACCGGAACAUGGACUGGGUUUCCACCCAGCUCCAGGCCACAUGCAAUGUCCACAAGUCUGCCUUCAAUGACUGGUUCAGUGGACACCUCAACUUCCAGAUUGAGCACCAUCUUUUUCCCACGAUGCCUCGACACAAUUACCACAAAGUGGCUCCCCUGGUGCAGUCCUUGUGUGCCAAGCAUGGCAUAGAGUACCAGUCC